rnacentral:rRNA from 1 species
UUAAUGCUACUAGACGGAUAGCUUGGUUUUGGUUUUGAUGAAGGACGUGGCAAGCUGCGAUAAGCUUGGGCGAGCUGCAUGCAAGCUUUGAACCCGAGAUUUCCGAAUUAUCCCGGAAGGGAAGAACACGCUGGGAAUUGAAACAUCUUAGUACCGGCAGGAAAAGAAAACAAAUUAGUGAUGUCCCCAUUAGCAGAGAGCGAAAAGGACAAAGGGCAAACUGAAUCCAGUUCUGAAAAGAACCCGGAGAUGUGGUGAGCAUAAAUUUCUAAGUUUCUGAAUCAAACUUUUUUGGAAAAAAGGACCUUAGAGGGUGAUAGUCCCGUAGAGAAAAGAAAUAUGAAGUUGCUUAAACGAGUAAGAUUUCCUGGAUUGGAAGUCCGAAUAUGGUAGAAUUAACUACUAACCCUAAAUAUAACCAAAGUCCGAUAGCGAACAAGUACCGCGAGGGAAAGCUGAAAAGAACCCAUAACAAGGUGUGAAAAGAUUUGAAAUCUAGUAGCUACAGAGUGUUACUGCUCUUCUUGCAUUUGCAAACAAGAGUUGUAACGUACGUUUCGAAGAACGGGCCAGGGAGUUUUCUGAUAUGGCGAGGCUAAUCCCUUAUGGGGAGUAACCGAAGCGAAAGCAAGUCUGAAAGGGCGAUAGUCAUAUUGGACAGACCUGAAUCCGGGUGAUCUAUUCAUGAGCAAGAUGAAGUCUCUCGAAAGAGGGAUGGAGGUCUGAACUAGUGCUGUGUACAUGCGCUUAGAUGAUUUGUGAAUAGGGGUGAAAAGCCUUUCUAACCCGGCGAUGGCUGGUUCCUGUUGAAAUAUGCCUACGUAUAGUCGUAUCUAGUUUGCCAACGGUGUAUAGUACGGAUGGAGUUUGCAGGAGCAAUCGCUUACGGAACUCUUUCCAACUCAGAAGCUGUUGGUUGCAUAAGAUAUGAAACAGGGGCGGUAUGUAAGAUACUGUUCCGAGAGGGGAACAACCCAAACCAAAGUUAAGGUCCCUAAAUUUAUGCUAAGUGUAUCGAAAGGUGUCUUAAACCUGAGACAGUGGGGAGGUAAGCUCAGAAGCAGCUAUCCUUUCAAGAAAGCGUAACAGCUCACCCAUCGAGGUUUAGGGCCCUGAAAAUGGACGGGGCUAAGCAUAAUACCGAUACUUCGGCGGCAUCUCAUGAGAUGUUCGGGUAAACAGGCGUACUUAUUGCGCAGAAUCUUUUUCGAGAGAAAGAGUGGAGCGGUAAGUAAUGAAAAUCCUGGUAAUAGUAGGAAGUGACUUUGCUGAAAACGCAAAGUGUCGAAAGAGCAAGGUUUCCUUGGCAAUAUAUGUUAGCCAAGGGUUAGUCAGUCCCUAAGUUGUACCUUAACUGCGUAUGACGAUGGGAAGCAGGUUAAUAUUCCUGCACUGAUUGGAUUUUUUGUAAUAUAAGAGCUUUGGGAUAAGCAAGCAUUCGAGAGGAUGUUUUUAUGAAGAAGUUUGUCGAGGGUAAUCCUAAGACGCAAAAGAAUUUGUAGAAUAAAGUUGCUGACUCCGGGAGCCAGUGAAAAGUUAUAUUGCUAAACGAAUUUAAUCAACUGUACCCACAACCGACACUGGUGCUCUAGCUGAGAAGGCUAAGACAUGAAAGGUGAAACUGAUUAAGGGAAUUCGGCAAUUUAGCCCCGUAGCUUCGGCGUAAGGGGUGUCUAUUUUUGUGUUUUGUUUCUUCGGAAAUUUAGUGCAUUAAUAGAUCUCAGUAACAAGGACAGCCCGACUGUUUACCAAAAACGUAGCCAAGUGCUAAUCCGAAAGAAUGUGUAUACUUGGUGAGACCUGCCCAGUGGUGGUGUGUCAAACUUCCUUCCAAGGGAGCUAAGCCCCAUCAAACGGCGGGGGUAACUAUGACCCUCUUAAGGUAGAAUAUUAUGACUGCCUUACAUUCAAUGAAUCUUAUGUAGAUUUUUUGAAUGCUUUAAAAUUCGCGAGAGUUUUAUUGUUAAUUUGGCCAAAUGCUGGAAAAUCUGUGAAUACCACUUUACGACGACAAUUUAAGUUUAUUAAGUUGGCUUGCGUGAAAAUAAGAUGGUUGCAGACAAUCAGCAGGAAAGGCUAGAUAAAAAAAUAUCUAGAAUCCUCAGAGACUACACGCCAGAUAUCAUAAGAGAUUAUGAUAAAGAUAUAGUCCGAACUUCAUAGCGAUAUGAAGAGUUAAUAAGAAAUUAUUAACCAUUUCAAAUGAAAUGUAACACAUUGAGCGUAAUACCUUGUCGUAUGAUUUACGACUUGCAUGAAUGGUUUAACGAGGUUGUUAGUGUCCCUAGUCAGGACCUUCUGAAAAUAUUGCGUGGUGAAAAUGCCACGGACGCCUAGUGGGAAGUGAAGACCUUGUGGAACUUUACUGCAACUUGUUGUUGUAACUUUAUUGAAGGUGCAUAGAAUAGGUGGGAGCAUCGAUGCUGUUAUUUCGGUGACAGUGGAGCGAACUUGUAAUACCACCCAUUUCCAAUAAAGCUGCUUACUCUUUAGAGGACACCAGCAGGCGGGCAGUUUGGCUGGGGCGGCACCCUGCCGAAAAAAUAUCGGUAGGACCCAAAGACAAGCUCAUCCGGCUUGGAAAUCCGGAGUUGAGUGCGAGGGCAAAAGCUUGUCUGACUGCAUUUUGAAAAGCAAGAAAUGCAGGGAUGAAAGUCUGGCCUAGCGAACCCACAUGCUUUUUUAAUGGAAGCUGUGUCUGAUAGAAAAGUUACCCCAAGGAUAACAGGCUUGUCGCCCCCGAUAGUCCGUAUUGACGGGGCGGUUUGGUACAUCGCUGUCGGCUCUACCUAUCCUAGCUGUGCAGUAGCAGCUAAGGGUGUCGGAGUUCACGCAUCAAAAGGUAUCGUUAGCUGGGUUAAGAACGUUGUGAGACAGUUUGUAUAAUAUCUACUAGGUGUGUUGUUGUCUGAGUGGAACGAAUCUCUAGUACGAGAGGAACGGGAUCCGGGUGCCUCUGGUGUGCGGUUGUCAUAUGGCAGGCCGCGUAGCUACGCACUAUAUGGAUAAGAGCUGAACGCAUCUAAGCUCGAAGCCAUCCGCAAAACGAGACAACUAAGGCCGCAAUAGAAGAUUGCGUUGAUAGAUUUGCUGUGUAAGAUUCGAGCUUCGGCGAGAAUUUCAGCUCGCAAAUACUAAUAGCCUCAAUUGUAUCAUUU